rnacentral:rRNA from 1 species
AUUGAACGCUAGCGGGAUGCUUUACACAUGCAAGUCGAACGGCAGCGCGGACUUCGGUCUGGCGGCGAGUGGCGAACGGGUGAGUAAUGUAUCGGAACGUGCCCAGUAGCGGGGGAUAACUACGCGAAAGCGUAGCUAAUACCGCAUACGCCCUACGGGGGAAAGCAGGGGAUCGUAAGACCUUGCACUAUUGGAGCGGCCGAUAUCGGAGUAGCUAGUUGGUGAGGUAACGGCUCACCAAGGCGACGAUCCGUAGAUGGUUUGAGAGGACGACCAGCCACACUGGGACUGAGACACGGCCCAGACUCCUACGGGAGGCAGCAGUGGGGAAUGUUGGGCAAUGGGGGCAACCCUGAUCCAGCCAUCCCGCGUGUGCGAUGAAGGCCUUCGGGUUGUAAAGCACUUUUGGCAGGAAAGAAACGUCGCGGGCUAAUACCCCGUGGAACUGACGGUACCUGCAGAAUAAGCACCGGCUAACUACGUG